rnacentral:lncRNA from 1 species
UUUUGAUGCUGGACAAAUUUGGAUCUUCCUGAGUUAGACCACCUCAUAGACGCUUGUAUUGCAAAUGGAUCCAGAUUUAGUUUUACGAAUUUCUGUGAAGCUCUGAAAUGUAGUCAUGUUGUGGAUAUCUCAUUGGCUUGAGUUGAGUUUGAUUUGUAAGAUUUUAUACAAUUGAGACAUGACUUUAUAUGGUAACUAAGGACAUCAUUAGGCGAUAUUUUAGUUACUGACACACUUUCAGAUUUUG